UACGGGGGGGGCAAGCGUUGUUCGGAAUUACUGGGCGUAAAGGGCUCGUAGGUGGCCAACUAAGUCAAACGGGAAAUCCCUCGGCUUAACCGGGGAACUGCGUUUGAUACUGGAUGGCUUGAGUUUGGGAGAGGGAUGCGGAAUUCCAGGUGUAGCGGUGAAAUGCGUAGAUAUCUGGAGGAACACCGGUGGCGAAGGCGGCAUCCUGGACCAAUACUGACGCUGAGGAGCGAAAGCCAGGGGAGCAAACGGG
rnacentral:rRNA from 1 species